rnacentral:rRNA from 1 species
UACGUAGGGUGCGAGCGUUAAUCGGAAUUACUGGGCGUAAAGCGUGCGCAGGCGGUUCGUUGUGUCGGUGGUGAAAGCCCCGGGCUUAACCUGGGAAUGGCCAUGGAAACUGGCGAACUGGAGUGUGGCAGAGGGGGGUGGAAUUCCGCGUGUAGCAGUGAAAUGCGUAGAGAUGCGGAGGAACACCGAUGGCGAAGGCAGCCUCCUGGGCCAACACUGACGCUCAUGCACGAAAGCGUGGGGAGCAAACAGG